CGAGCAGCAGUGGCAUCUUGAAAUGAGUUAGGGACAGAAAGAAUAUCUUGUCUAUAAAUAUCAGACCAUUUCUCCGCAAUAGCAGCUGGAUCAGUGAUAGCACCAAGUUGAGCAGGCCUUACCAUACUGGAAGGCAUAUCAGAUGACUCAGUUUGUCUAGUUUGAGAGCCUUCAAGUUCAGACCAGAACAAGCCAAAAGGGUGCAACUUAUUAUCGCUCUGAUAUGGUAAACCAGGUUUUGUCAAUUCAUUUGGAAGAGAUGGUUGACCAUUAGAUUUUGCUACAGGAUCACAAACAUUCUUGCACAGUAGGAUAGCCACUACUGCCAGGUCUUCCUGGAAAAACAAUUUCUUCAUCAUGUGCAAUAAAGUCAUGAAAGCUUUGGCCCUCAGAAUGUGGCAACUGAAGUGGAUUUUCAGGCUCAGACAUUCUUGACUGAACAUGCUGAGCUGAGAAGCUAGUUAAAUCGGACAAUGGCUGACACAGCUCAUUUAUUACAUCGGUAUUUUCUGGAGCAGUAAGAGGUAAACUAGGCUUCAACUUUCCUCCUAAAGCACCAGACUGUUCCUGCUCAGAACUGGGAUACACUCCUCUCAGUUUUAGGUGUGGCAUCACCUCUCCCAAACUUUGGAAAGGUGUGCCUUCAGGAGCAUCU
rnacentral:misc_RNA from 1 species